rnacentral:lncRNA from 1 species
GGCUGUUUGUUUCUUGGGACUCGGCUACGUCCAGAGAGAGGUUGCGCUUUCUUCGGAGGACUGGGAACCGCAGCCCAAACACAGAGCUCUGUGGCUGUGACCGUCCAGAGGACACCAUUGAGGAGUAAGCUUUCUUCCGUCGCUUCCUGCGUGUGCUCUGACUACCGGGACCUGACGUGGAACUUCAAAAGCAAGGCAGAGCUCAGUACACCUGACUGAAACGCGAUGGUGUCUGCCACUUUAGACUUCAUGCCCAAAUCCAAAACAAGAAGAAAGAGAACAGGAGAAAGGGUCAUUGAUUCUGCUUCAUCGGGAAAACAAAACACCUUCCCAGAAACCCUCUUAACAGUUUUCCAUUGAUACCCUGUUUAUACCUUGUUGGCAGAACCUGGGUCAUGUGGCCAUACCUAAGUGACAGAGGCUUGGAAAGUGGGAGCAAGACGAUCAUCUGUGGCUGGGCCAAUCAUCUUCCAUCUGUUAGAAUGAAUUCUCCUAUAAAAACACAUCCCUGGGCCAUAUUGUCAGAGCUGGACAAUACUUCUCAAACACAGUGAAGAAGAACUGUCCAUAUUGGCAGUUGUUAAUGAUCAUCAGUGAUGUGAAACAACUAAAUAAAAUCAAGAAUGAAAAAUGACCCCGUUUAAUCGAUACUUCUGGGAAGUUCAGUUUCCAGACGUGACAUGCAGCACAGAGUUCACGUUGACCAAGCACAUGUGGAGAAUUCUCUGUGAAGGAGAACCAACAAGACCAGCCCACAAAGUGUAUAAAUACUGGAACGACCAGACCUGGAAAACAACCGUGUUUACUAUGUUCGAAGGGAAAAAGGUAAGCAUAUGAAAGGAAACAUCUACAUGUAGGGGUGAAUCUAAAAUGCCUGAAAGAGACCAAAGGGAACUUGUAUAAGUGAAAUAUAAACCAUUAAAAAGAGUCCAUAGACAAAAUCAACCAUCAUUAAAAAUACGUGAAGGGAGAAUUAGCGAGUCAGAAAAAAAUCAGAAGAAAUUACAAGAACACAGCAGAGAAACUAAGACAUGUGGUAAACAGAGACAUAGAAGGAUGGAUGUUGGAUCAGCAUCCUUGAAGGAAAAGAGGAUGGGUUGAGAUCAUCUUCGAGGAAAUAAUGACAGAGCAUUUUCCAGGACUGAGAGUUGGUUUCAAGAAUUGGUUUCAAGAAUCGCACCAAAUUGCACCAAAGGAAAGACACCAAAAAUCGGUUUCAAGAAUUGCAACAAAUUCCCAGUGUAUAAACACAAAGAAAUUUAGAUAUAGACACAUCAGGGUAAAACUGGGGCAUACCAAAAUCAGGUGAAACAUAUAGAUGUAACCAGUAAGCAAAAGAGAUGAAAAGAAACUGAUCUGAAAGGACAAACAGUUAAAUCAGCAGUUGAUUUCUGAACAACAGCAAUGAAAGUGGCAAGUGGAAGGAUAAUAUAACAGCCAACCUCAGAAUUCUCUACUAAGUCGAAGAUAUUUUCAAGCAUUAGGACAAAAGCUAGAAUGACACUAAAAGCAUUUGUUACCAGCAGGACCUCAUUACGCAUAACAAGUAAUUUUAUAUUAUGAACUUCAAGCAGAAGGAAAGUUGACCCUGAUGGAAGGUCUGCCAUGGAAGGAAAAAGAACAACAACAAAAACAUGGUGGUAAACAUGUAGAGAUGAAUCUAAGUAAACGUUCAUUGUAAAACCAAAUUAUUUCCUCAUGGAAUAAGUAAAAAAAAAAACCACAAUGUAGAAUUAAAAUAUUCUCCCCCUCCGCAUAUUAUUCAAGUGAGGCAUAGAAAUAAAAGGGUUGUGGGGCACCUGGGUGGCUCA